rnacentral:rRNA from 1 species
UACGUAGGGUGCAAGCGUUGUCCGGAAUUAUUGGGCGUAAAGAGCUCGUAGGCGGUCUGUUACGUCGGCUGUGAAAACCUAGGGCUCAACCCUGGGCCUGCAGCCGAUACGGGCAGACUAGAAUUCGGUAGGGGAGACUGGAAUUCCUGGUGUAGCGGUGAAAUGCGCAGAUAUCAGGAAGAACACCCGUGGCUAAGGCGGUUCUCUAGUACGGUACUGACGCUGAGACGCGAAAGCGUGGGGAGCGAACAGG